CUUUUCUUGACUUAGUGGCGAACGGGUGAGUAACGCGUGAGUAACCUGCCCUGAAGUGGGGGACAACAGUUGGAAACGACUGCUAAUACCGCAUAAGCCCACGGAUUCGCAUGGAUCUGCGGGAAAAGGAUUUAUUCGCUUCAGGAUGGACUCGCGUCCAAUUAGCUAGUUGGUGAGGUAACGGCCCACCAAGGCGACGAUUGGUAGCCGGACUGAGAGGUUGAACGGCCACAUUGGGACUGAGACACGGCCCAGACUCCUACGGGAGGCAGCAGUGGGGGAUAUUGCACAAUGGGGGAAACCCUGAUGCAGCGACGCCGCGUGGAGGAAGAAGGUUUUCGGAUUGUAAACUCCUGUCGUUAGGGACGAUAAUGACGGUACCUAACAAGAAAGCACCGGCUAACUACGUGCCAGCAGCCGCGGUAAAACGUAGGGUGCAAGCGUUGUCCGGAAUUACUGGGUGUAAAGGGAGCGCAGGCGGACCGGCAAGUUGGAAGUGAAAACCAUAGGCUCAACCUAUGGAUUGCUUUCAAAACUGCUGGCCUUGAGUAGUGCAGAGGUAGGUGGAAUUCCCGGUGUAGCGGUGGAAUGCGUAGAUAUCGGGAGGACACCAGUGGCGAAGGCGACCUACUGGGCACCAACUGACG
rnacentral:rRNA from 1 species